GGCCAGCGCAAGCUCUUCAGUCACACAUAAAUCUUUUGCCUUCUACUAAAGAUUUCCGUGGAGCGGAACGUUGACAAGUUCAGAUAAUUUUGUGGGCUUUGCUGUGGCAAAAG